rnacentral:tRNA from 1 species
UGACCGUUAGCUUAGUUGGUUAAAGCCGUCGCCUUAUAAGCGACAGAGGGCUGGUUAGAGCACGGGACGGUCAACCA